UUGGCAAAAUUGAGGAGGGUUUUCUUAGAGCGUGCGGGAGUCCUUCAGGUCGUGGUCCUUGAGGCCUGAGCAAGUAGCCUUGACCUGACCCCAUCCCAGGCUCGCCUUCCAGCUCAGAGUCAAGUAGGAGGAACUAGAGUGUGUCAGGGACCACAGGCAGGGGUGGGGCUGUGACGUGCCAGAGGGAGGGCGGGGCAGGUGGCAGGUGAGCUGCCAGGUCUCCCAGGCUCCAAUCACUCCGGAGACUGAGCCAUGGGGGAAAAACAGGACCCAGACAAGGCCUACGGGAAACCAGCCAAGUAUGACCCCUCCUUCCGAGGCCCCAUCAGGAACAGGAGCUGCACGGAUAUCAUCUGCUGUGUCCUCUUCUUUGUGUUCAUUCUGGGUUACAUUGCUGUGGGGCUUGUGGCCUGGGUCUAUGGAGACCCCCAGCAAGUCCUCUACCCCCGGAACUCUUCUGGGGCCUAUUGCGGGAUCGGGGAAAACAAAGAUAAACCCUAUCUCCUGUACUUCAACAUCUUCAGCUGCGUCCUAACCACCAACAUCAUCGCGGUCGCCCAGAAUGGUCUGGACUGCCCCACGCCCCAGGUGUGUGUGUCCUCCUGCCCAGCGGUCUCAUGGACCGUGGCAACAAACCAGCUCUCACAGACGGUUGGGCAGGUGUUCUACGCUGCAAACAGGAGCUUUUGUCUGCCAGGGGUGCCUGGGGACAUGCCAGUGCACCAAAGCCUGAGCCAGGAGCUCUGCCCCAGUUUCCUCCUCCCUUCCAGUCCAGCUCUGGGGCGUUGUUUUCCGUGGCCCAAUAGCACUGUGCCCGAGGUCCCGGAGAUCUCCAACACGUCCAUCUCCCAGGGCAUCAGUGGUCUUCUUGACAGCCUCAAUGCCCGCGACAUCAGCGUCAAGAUCUUUGAAGACUUUGCCCAGUCCUGGUAUUGGAUUCUUGCCGCCCUAGGCGUGGCUCUGGUCCUGAGCCUGCUGUUUGUCCUGCUUCUGCGCCUGGUGGCUGGGCCCCUGGUGUUCGUGCUGAUCAUAGGAGUGCUGGGGGUGCUGGCCUAUGGCAUCUACCACUGCUGGAACGAGUACCGCUUGCUGCGGGACAAGGGCGCCUCCAUUUCCCAGCUGGGCUUCACCACCAACCUCAGCGCCUACAGCAGCGUCCAGGAGACCUGGCUAGCAGCCCUGAUCCUGCUGGCUGUGCUUGAAGGCAUCCUGCUACUAAUGCUCAUCUUCCUGCGGCAGCGGAUUCGCAUAGCCAUUGCCCUCCUGGAGGAAGCCAGCAGGGCUGUAGGCCAGAUGAUGUCUACCCUGUUCUACCCGCUGGUCACCUUCGUCCUCCUGCUCGUCUGCAUUGCCUACUGGGCCAUGACCGCCCUAUACCUGGCCACCUCGGGGCAACCCCAGUACGUGCUCUGGGCACCCAACGUCAGCCUGGCGGGCUGUGAGAAAGUGAUGAUGAAUACAUCAUGUGACCCCAUGAACCAGCCAGUGAACUCCACCUGCCCAGGGCUGAUGUGCGUCUUCCAGGGCUACUUGUCCACAGGCCUGGUACAACGUUCUCUCUUCAACUUGCAAAUCUACGGGGUCCUGGGGCUAUUCUGGACCAUCAACUGGGUCCUGGCCCUGGGCCAGUGUGUCCUGGCUGGGGCCUUCGCCUCCUUCUACUGGGCCUUCCACAAGCCCCGGGACAUUCCUACCUUUCCCCUGAGCUCUGCCUUCAUCCGCACACUCCGGUAUCACACUGGGUCGCUAGCCUUCGGAGCCCUCAUCCUGACCCUGGUGCAGAUAGCACGGGCCAUCCUGGAGUACAUUGACCACAAACUGAGAGGAGCCCAGAACCCGGUGGCCCGCUGUAUCAUGUGCUGCUUCAAGUGCUGCCUCUGGUGUUUGGAAAAGUUUAUCAAGUUCCUGAACCGUAAUGCAUACAUCAUGGUGAGCCCCUGCACAUGCGCACCCUCUUGCUCUGGGGCCUUUGACCCGGGCCUCCCGUUCUCCCAGGUAACCUCACCACAGGUAACUCUGGACUUUCCACCUCACUCAGAUUGCCAUCUAUGGGAAGAAUUUCUGUGUCUCAGCCAAAAACGCCUUCAUGCUGCUCAUGCGGAACAUUGUCAGGUCAGGCUGUCACCACCCCACCCCAACCCUGGUGAUCUCCCCGCAAGGCCAGCUUCCUGGGCAUGCUGUGCUCAGAAGGGCCUUGAGCUUGGUUUAACCUCUGCUUCCUCCAUCUUGAAAUGUGAGCGAUUUUCAUUUUGCAGCUGUCACGGCAAAUCACAUAGCCAAUUCUCUUCCCAGCCCUGCCAGGCCUCUCACCCCCAACCUACCCCAUCUCCCUAUACAGGGUGGUCGUCCUGGACAAGGUCACAGACCUGCUGCUGUUCUUUGGGAAAUUGCUGGUGGUUGGAGGUGUCGGUAAGGACCAAGACACGAGUUACAAGGACAGAACACUGGUGGCCAGGCAGUUUAAGAGGUGACCUUAGAGGAGUGACAUUGACCUCCAGAUCUCUCCCCUAGGGGUCCUGUCCUUCUUUUUUUUCACCGGUCGCAUCCAGGGACUGGGUAAAGACUUUGAGAGUCCCCAGCUCAACUAUUACUGGCUGCCCAUCAUGGUGAGUGACCUUCGCCCCUCUGCCUCACCCUCCACCUCUCCAGAGGAACCCUAAACGGGCUUUGUGUCUUCCAGACCUCCAUCAUGGGAGCCUACGUCAUCGCCAGUGGCUUCUUCAGCGUUUUCGGCAUGUGUGUGGAUACUCUCUUCCUCUGUUUCUUGGAAGACCUGGAGAGGAACGACGGCUCCCUGGACCGGCCCUACUACAUGUCCAAAGCCCUUCUGAAGAUUCUGGGCAAGAAGAACGAGGUGCCCUCGGGAGACAAGAAGAGGAAGAAGUGAGAGACGUAGCCCUGAUCCAAAACAGCACCCCGCCUGUACAGCCUCCCAGCCUCAUUCCCGCCUUCCAGAUGUCGAUUUUGUAGUAAAAAGAUUAAAAGAUUGAUAUUGUGUUUUCUCAAAAA